rnacentral:lncRNA from 1 species
CUGCUCCUGCACGACCUUCUGCCUUUGACACCGCGUCACCUGGUGGUGUCCCUCCCCCAGGAGCUGCUCUCACUGGUGGCAUCACUUCAGAACCAUGAUGCUGCCUGUGAUCCUAAUCGCACUGAUAAAAGCAAGUGAAUGUGCCCUACUGGACAGCAGUCACUAGGCUAAGGGAUGGCGCUGAAGAGCCAGGUCCCAGGGUCUGCAGCAGCAGGAGACUGGCUCCUGUCCCACCUGUGGCAAGCACCCGGAAGCCACCAAGCAGCAGAAGUAGCAGCCAUCCCAGCUGAGCCUCCGCGCUCUGCCUUGGCAAGAACAUGA